rnacentral:rRNA from 1 species
AGCGAACGCUGGCGGCAGGCUUAACACAUGCAAGUCGAGCGGGCACUUUCGGGUGUCAGCGGCGGACGGGUGAGGAACGCGUGGGAACGUGCCCUCUGGUUCGGAAUAACUCAGGGAAACUUGAGCUAAUACCGGAUACGCCCUUUUGGGGAAAGGCUUGCUGCCGGAGGAUCGGCCCGCGUCUGAUUAGCUAGUUGGUGAGGUAACGGCUCACCAAGGCGACGAUCAGUAGCUGGUCUGAGAGGAUGAUCAGCCACACUGGGACUGAGACACGGCCCAGACUCCUACGGGAGGCAGCAGUGGGGAAUAUUGGACAAUGGGCGCAAGCCUGAUCCAGCCAUGCCGCGUGAGUGAUGAAGGCCUUAGGGUUGUAAAGCUCUUUUAUCCGGGACGAUAAUGACGGUACCGGAGGAAUAAGCCCCGGCUAACUUCGUG